GGGUUGUGAGGUUAAGCGACUAAGCGUACACGGUGGAUGCCCUGGCAGUCAGAGGCGAUGAAGGACGUGCUAAUCUGCGAUAAGCGUCGGUAAGGUGAUAUGAACCGUUAUAACCGGCGAUUUCCGAAUGGGGAAACCCAGUGUGUUUCGACACACUAUCAUUAACUGAAUCCAUAGGUUAAUGAGGCGAACCGGGGGAACUGAAACAUCUAAGUACCCCGAGGAAAAGAAAUCAACCGAGAUUCCCCCAGUAGCGGCGAGCGAACGGGGAGCAGCCCAGAGCCUGAAUCAGUGUGUGUGUUAGUGGAAGCGUCUGGAAAGGCGCGCGAUACAGGGUGACAGCCCCGUACACAAAAAUGCACAUAUUGUGAGCUCGAUGAGUAGGGCGGGACACGUGGUAUCCUGUCUGAAUAUGGGGGGACCAUCCUCCAAGGCUAAAUACUCCUGACUGACCGAUAGUGAACCAGUACCGUGAGGGAAAGGCGAAAAGAACCCCGGCGAGGGGAGUGAAAAAGAACCUGAAACCGUGUACGUACAAGCAGUGGGAGCACGCUUAGGCGUGUGACUGCGUACCUUUUGUAUAAUGGGUCAGCGACUUAUAUUCUGUAGCAAGGUUAACCGAAUAGGGGAGCCGAAGGGAAACCGAGUCUUAACUGGGCGUUAAGUUGCAGGGUAUAGACCCGAAACCCGGUGAUCUAGCCAUGGGCAGGUUGAAGGUUGGGUAACACUAACUGGAGGACCGAACCGACUAAUGUUGAAAAAUUAGCGGAUGACUUGUGGCUGGGGGUGAAAGGCCAAUCAAACCGGGAGAUAGCUGGUUCUCCCCGAAAGCUAUUUAGGUAGCGCCUCGUGAAUUCAUCUCCGGGGGUAGAGCACUGUUUCGGCAAGGGGGUCAUCCCGACUUACCAACCCGAUGCAAACUGCGAAUACCGGAGAAUGUUAUCACGGGAGACACACGGCGGGUGCUAACGUCCGUCGUGAAGAGGGAAACAACCCAGACCGCCAGCUAAGGUCCCAAAGUCAUGGUUAAGUGGGAAACGAUGUGGGAAGGCCCAGACAGCCAGGAUGUUGGCUUAGAAGCAGCCAUCAUUUAAAGAAAGCGUAAUAGCUCACUGGUCGAGUCGGCCUGCGCGGAAGAUGUAACGGGGCUAAACCAUGCACCGAAGCUGCGGCAGCGACGCUUAUGCGUUGUUGGGUAGGGGAGCGUUCUGUAAGCCUGUGAAGGUGUGCUGUGAGGCAUGCUGGAGGUAUCAGAAGUGCGAAUGCUGACAUAAGUAACGAUAAAGCGGGUGAAAAGCCCGCUCGCCGGAAGACCAAGGGUUCCUGUCCAACGUUAAUCGGGGCAGGGUGAGUCGACCCCUAAGGCGAGGCCGAAAGGCGUAGUCGAUGGGAAACAGGUUAAUAUUCCUGUACUUGGUGUUACUGCGAAGGGGGGACGGAGAAGGCUAUGUUGGCCGGGCGACGGUUGUCCCGGUUUAAGCGUGUAGGCUGGUUUUCCAGGCAAAUCCGGAAAAUCAAGGCUGAGGCGUGAUGACGAGGCACUACGGUGCUGAAGCAACAAAUGCCCUGCUUCCAGGAAAAGCCUCUAAGCAUCAGGUAACAUCAAAUCGUACCCCAAACCGACACAGGUGGUCAGGUAGAGAAUACCAAGGCGCUUGAGAGAACUCGGGUGAAGGAACUAGGCAAAAUGGUGCCGUAACUUCGGGAGAAGGCACGCUGAUAUGUAGGUGAAGUCCCUCGCGGAUGGAGCUGAAAUCAGUCGAAGAUACCAGCUGGCUGCAACUGUUUAUUAAAAACACAGCACUGUGCAAACACGAAAGUGGACGUAUACGGUGUGACGCCUGCCCGGUGCCGGAAGGUUAAUUGAUGGGGUCAGCGCAAGCGAAGCUCUUGAUCGAAGCCCCGGUAAACGGCGGCCGUAACUAUAACGGUCCUAAGGUAGCGAAAUUCCUUGUCGGGUAAGUUCCGACCUGCACGAAUGGCGUAAUGAUGGCCAGGCUGUCUCCACCCGAGACUCAGUGAAAUUGAACUCGCUGUGAAGAUGCAGUGUACCCGCGGCAAGACGGAAAGACCCCGUGAACCUUUACUAUAGCUUGACACUGAACAUUGAGCCUUGAUGUGUAGGAUAGGUGGGAGGCUUUGAAGUGUGGACGCCAGUCUGCAUGGAGCCGGCCUUGAAAUACCACCCUUUAAUGUUUGAUGUUCUAACGUUGACCCGUAAUCCGGGUUGCGGACAGUGUCUGGUGGGUAGUUUGACUGGGGCGGUCUCCUCCUAAAGAGUAACGGAGGAGCACGAAGGUUGGCUAAUCCUGGUCGGACAUCAGGAGGUUAGUGCAAUGGCAUAAGCCAGCUUGACUGCGAGCGUGACGGCGCGAGCAGGUGCGAAAGCAGGUCAUAGUGAUCCGGUGGUUCUGAAUGGAAGGGCCAUCGCUCAACGGAUAAAAGGUACUCCGGGGAUAACAGGCUGAUACCGCCCAAGAGUUCAUAUCGACGGCGGUGUUUGGCACCUCGAUGUCGGCUCAUCACAUCCUGGGGCUGAAGUAGGUCCCAAGGGUAUGGCUGUUCGCCAUUUAAAGUGGUACGCGAGCUGGGUUUAGAACGUCGUGAGACAGUUCGGUCCCUAUCUGCCGUGGGCGCUGGAGAACUGAGGGGGGCUGCUCCUAGUACGAGAGGACCGGAGUGGACGCAUCACUGGUGUUCGGGUUGUCAUGCCAAUGGCACUGCCCGGUAGCUAAAUGCGGAAGAGAUAAGUGCUGAAAGCAUCUAAGCACGAAACUUGCCCCGAGAUGAGUUCUCCCUGACCCUUUAAGGGUCCUGAAGGAACGUUGAAGACGACGACGUUGAUAGGCCGGGUGUGUAAGCGCAGCGAUGCGUUGAGCUAACCGGUACUAAUGAACCGUGAGGCUUAACCUUACAACGCCGAAG
rnacentral:rRNA from 1 species